AAUUAAACAUGUAUUAGUGUCCGCAAUAAGAAUCCGAUCGGCUGUGUGUGUACAUUUAAUAUAUGCACGUGUUUAUUUUUAUCGCACAUUCUCUUCAUCUCGAUUUUGCAAGAUAUAAGCAAAUAGUGAGAAAAAUUUCUCAAUAUCGGAAAAAGAUUUGCCCAAAGUUUCUGGCAGAAAAAAAUAUACAAAAGCUGUACCUAUUAAGGACAUAAAGCUAAAAGAGAAAAAGAUACCCUCGAUGUUCAUGCAUUUUAAAAUAUCAGGAUAGUUCUUCACAACAGCAAACAUCAUUAUAUAAGCAAGAGAAACCAUGAGACCCCCACCGAUACCACGUAUAGAUACAGGCAACAAUUCUCCAAUCAAUGUCCACGGUAUAUUUAGAAAUCCAAAUGUACUAGUGCAGAUGUAAGAUAAUACAAAGAAUAAUAAUAACCAUUUUUGAUCUA